rnacentral:tRNA from 1 species
AUUUAUAUAGUUUAAAAAACAUUACAUUUUCACUGUAAAAUUGAUAAAUUUAUCUAUAAAUA